rnacentral:rRNA from 1 species
UGGCGGACGGGUGAGUAACGCGUGGGUAACCUGCCUCAUACAGGGGGAUAACAGUUAGAAAUGACUGCUAAUACCGCAUAAGCGCACGGUUUCGCAUGGAACAGUGUGAAAAACUCCGGUGGUAUGGGAUGGACCCGCGUCUGAUUAGCUUGUUGGCGGGGUAGAGGCCCACCAAGGCGACGAUCAGUAGCCGGCCUGAGAGGGUGGACGGCCACAUUGGGACUGAGACACGGCCCAAACUCCUACGGAAGGCAGCAG